AUUGAACGCUGGCGGCAGGCCUAACACAUGCAAGUCGAACGAGUGGCGGACGGGUGAGUAAUGCGUGGGAAACUGCCUGAUGGAGGGGGAUCACUACUGGAAACUGUAGCUAAUACCGCAUACCCUCGGAUGAUCCCAUGUGUGAUUAGCUAGUAGGUGGGGUAAAGGCUCACCAAGGCGACGAUCCCUAGCUGGUCUGAGAGGAUGACCAGCCACACGUGGACUGAGACACGGUCCAGACUCCUACGGGCGGCAGCAGUGGGGAAUAUUGCGCAAUGGGCGCAAGCCUGAUGCAGCCAUGCCGCGUGUAUGAAGAAGGCCUUCGGGUUGUAAAGUACUUUCAGUAGGGAGGCGUUACCCGCAGAAGAAGCACCGGCUAACUCCGUGCCAGCAGCCGCGGUAAUUG
rnacentral:rRNA from 1 species